rnacentral:rRNA from 1 species
GACGAACGCUGGCGGCGUGCUUAACACAUGCAGGUCGUACGGUAAGGCCCUUUCGGGGGUACACGAGUGGCGAACGGGUGAGUAACACGUGAGUAACCUGCCCACAACUUUGGGAUAACGCUAGGAAACUGGUGCUAAUACUGGAUAUGUGCUCCUGCUGCAUGGUGGGGGUUGGAAAGCUCCGGCGGUUGUGGAUGGACUCGCGGCCUAUCAGCUUGUUGGUGGGGUAGUGGCCUACCAAGGCGGCGACGGGUAGCCGGCCUGAGAGGGUGACCGGCCACAUUGGGACUGAGAUACGGCCCAGACUCCUACGGGAGGCAGCAGUGGGGUAUAUUGCACAAUGGGCGCAAGCCUGAUGCAGCAACGCCGCGUGCGGGAUGACGGCCUUCGGGUUGUAAACCGCUUUCAGCAGGGACGAAGCUUUUUGUGACGGUACCUGCAGAAGAAGCACCGGCUAACUACGUG